rnacentral:rRNA from 1 species
AGCGAACGUUAGCGGCGCGCCUAACACAUGCAAGUCGCACGAGAAAGGGCUUCGGCCCCGGUAAAGUGGCGCACGGGUGAGUAACACGUGGGCAACCUGCCCAACCCUGGGGGAUAACCUGCCGAAAGGCGGGCUAAUACCGCGUACGAGGGCUCGACUUCGGUCGGGUUCUGAAAGCAGGCCUCUGUAUACAAGCUUGUGGGGUUGGAUGGGCCCGCGCUCCAUCAGCUAGUUGGUGAGGUAACGGCUCACCAAGGCUACGACGGAUAGCUGGUCUGAGAGGAUGAUCAGCCACACUGGAACUGAGACACGGUCCAGACUCCUACGGGAGGCAGCAGUGGGGAAUCUUGCGCAAUGGACGAAAGUCUGACGCAGCGACGCCGCGUGGGUGACGAAGGCCUUCGGGUUGUAAAGCCCUGUGGGGUGAGACGAACAGCUAGAGUUCGAAUAGGGCUCUGGUCUGACGGUAUCACCUUAGCAAGCACCGGCUAACUCUGUGCCAGCCGCCGCCGUAAAAC